rnacentral:rRNA from 1 species
GAUGAACGCUGGCGGCGUGCCUAAUACAUGCAAGUCGAGCGAACGGACGAGAAGCUUGCUUCUCUGAUGUUAGCGGCGGACGGGUGAGUAACACGUGGAUAACCUACCUAUAAGACUGGGAUAACUUCGGGAAACCGGAGCUAAUACCGGCUAAUAUUUUGAACCGCAUGGUUCAAAAGUGAAAGACGGUCUUGCUGUCACUUAUAGAUGGAUCCGCGCUGCAUUAGCUAGUUGGUAAGGUAACGGCUUACCAAGGCAACGAUGCAUAGCCGACCUGAGAGGGGGAUCGGCCACACUGGAACUGAGACACGGUCCAGACUCCUACGGGAGGCAGCAGUAGGGAAUCUUCCGAAAUGGGCGAAAGCCUGACGGAGCAACGCCGCGUGAGUGAUGAAGGUCUUCGGAUCGUAAAACUCUGUUAUUAGGGAAGAACAUAUGUGUAAGUAACUGUGCACAUCUUGACGGUACCUAAUCAGAAAGCCACGGCUAACUACGU